rnacentral:tRNA from 1 species
GGUCCCGUAGCUCAGUUGGUUAGAGCGUCGUACUAAUAAUAUUCGAAAUGAGUAUUACCGUGUAAUGCGAAGGUCGCGGGUUCGACCCCCUCCGGGACCA